GUCCCCUUCGUCUAGAGGCCUAGGACAUCACCCUUCACGGUGAGUACAGGGGUUCGAAUCCCCUAGGGGACGCCA
rnacentral:tRNA from 1 species